rnacentral:tRNA from 1 species
GCCACUGUGGUCUAGCGGUCAGAACACUAGCCUUGUAAGCCUGGGGUCCCGGUUCAAUUCCCGGUGGUG